rnacentral:rRNA from 1 species
UACGAAGGGUGCAAGCGUUACUCGGAAUCACUGGGCGUAAAGGGUGCGUAGGCGGGUCUUUAAGUCGGGGGUGAAAGCCUGUGGCUCAACCACAGAAUGGCCUUCGAUACUGGGACGCUUGAGUAUGGUAGAGGUUGGUGGGACUGCGAGUGUAGAGGUGAAAUUCGUAGAUAUUCGCAAGAACACCGGUGGCGAAGGCGGCCAACUGGACCAUUACUGACGCUGAGGCGCGAAAGCGUGGGGAGCGAUCCGG